UACGGAGGGUGCAAGCGUUAUCCGGAUUUACUGGGUUUAAAGGGUGCGUAGGUGGGCAGGAAAGUCAGUGGUGAAAUCUUCAAGCUUAACUUGGAAACUGCCAUUGAUACUAUUUGUCUUGAAUUAUCUGGAGGUAAGCGGAAUAUGUCAUGUAGCGGUGAAAUGCUUAGAUAUGACAUAGAACACCCAUUGCGAAGGCAGCUUACUACGGAUAUAUUGACACUGAGGCACGAAAGCGUGGGGAUCAAACAGG
rnacentral:rRNA from 1 species